UACAGAGGUCUCAAGCGUUGUUCGGAUUCAUUGGGCGUAAAGGGUGCGUAGGUGGCGUGGUAAGUCGGAUGUGAAAUCCCGGGGCUCAACCCCGGAACUGCAUUCGAUACUGCCUUGCUAGAGUACUGGAGAGGAGACUGGAAUUUACGGUGUAGCAGUGAAAUGCGUAGAGAUCGUAAGGAAGACCAGUGGCGAAGGCGAGUUUCUGGACGGUAACUGACGCUGAGGCACGAAGGCCAGGGGAGCAAACGGG
rnacentral:rRNA from 1 species